rnacentral:lncRNA from 10 species
UGGGGGCAAGUCUUUCCUGUGCUAGUCUCGCGAUAGUGAAUAAGUCUCACGAGAUCUGACAAUUUUAAAAAGAAGAGUUCCCCUGCGCAAGUUUUGUUUCUUUGCCUCCUGCAGUCUGUGCCUUCCACCAUGAUCAUGAGGCUUCCCCAGCCACACAGAACUGGGCUGCUUUCUAAAAGAAAUAACAUUCAACUGUUGAUUUUCUCGAGUGCGGAAGAGAACCUGAUGCAGCAUGGCUCCCUCUGAACCUCACAUGCUAUCCCAGAGCAGACUUGCGGGUCUCCUCCACUAGGUCCUGAAUUCCAGCAGAAUGGCUGAAGCCAACCAGUCUCAAGACCUCAACCAAGGAACCAACCAACUCUGCACAGGAAUGCGGUUUCUUCAUCUCCCUGUCCCAGGAAUUCCCCCUUGCUUCUUGACCAAUCAGCAAUCCCCACAUUUUAGCCCUACCUGUUCAGACCCUUUACAAGCUCCAUCCCCAAACCCUGGAGGGAGGAGGAUUUGAAGGUUCCUCUGUCUCAUUUGACUGCCCUACAAUUAUUAAACUCUUUCUCUACUGCAACUCCCAUUGUGUCUGCAUACUGGUCUGUUAUCAUGCAACAAGCAAUCAAACCUAGUGGUCCUAUAACACUUUGGUUUAACUUUAUUUAGUUAAAAUACAGUAAUUUUUAAACCAGCCUAUUUUAAGUGGGAAGGUGGAACAGUUUGUAACAUACCAUGUUAAAAAAUAUAAACAUAAUAACAAUAAGACCAAUAUAAAUAAGCUGCUAUUAUAUACUGGUUAACCUCAUAAUGAUCAUGUGUCAA